CUUCACCCUCUCCCCCUCCGCCCCCUCUGUCUCUCUCAUUUCUCUUGGGGUUUCUUUUGGCUUUUGUGUUUGUUUCCUAUGCGUUGCCUCUUCCCGUAUUUCUCAUCUCGGAAAACAACCCUUUGGCCCAAAUACAUUUGGGUUGAUUUUGAGCCUCUGCCUCCUUCCUCCAAGCCAUUGGUCCAUCCCCGUUUUCCCUGGGUUCCUGCUCAUUCCCCGCGCCCCCCCUCCGGCCCCCAAGGCCUCCCUGCCCCUCCCCCACCCUCCCUCCCCUCCGCAGGCCUCAGCUUUCUCUUGACAGAUGGGAGGGCAGUGAGCACUCCCUCUUUAAAACAACAUUUAAUCGCCGUUUUCUGUUCUUGGACAUCAAAGCCGGGGCUUAGGCGCUGCGCUGGGGUCGCGGUGCGCGGGCUCUGGGGGAGAGGAGCUCCUACCAUCCCCGAAGGCUGGGUCGGAAACUGCUGUCAGCCAGUCCAAACCCCAGGGAUCCAUGGGGCCUCACCUUACACUGGGGGAGAUUCCAGCUCUUCAAAUGCUUUGCUACCUGGAAAGAAGCAGUCAUACCUGUGGCAUAUGGAAGUUCCAGAGCUAGGUGUCGGAUCAGAGCUACACAUCAGCAAAAGGUGUUUGCAAUAGGGAAACCAGUGUCCUCAGAAAUGUGAUCAGAUUUCUUCUCUGGACACUUUUUCUUGGCCAUACCGGUGGCGUGCAGAAGUUCCCAGGCCAGGGAUCGAACCUGUGCCACAACAGUGACAACAGUAGAUCCUUAACCCGCUGAGCUACCAGGGAACCUCUGGAUGCUUCUUUACAGUGGUCAAUUUGUGGGCUCCUGAUGGACAUCAGCUCUGGCCCCACCAUCUAUCAGCUCCUCUCCGCCAGUAAGUCUUUCGAGGAAAUCAUUGCCACUGACUACAUGGCCAGGAACUGCCAGGAGCUGGAGAAGUGGCUGAAAAAGGAGCCAGAGGCCUUUGAUGGAUCUCCACGGGUGAAAUACAUGGCACCACGUGGGUCCACCACAGCCCCUCCAUCCCCAAAUAUCACUCUCCCUAGUUAGGUAAGGUGGUCGCAGUUGUUAAAGUCUUACUCUUUUUGUUUAAGGCUGAUUUUUUUUUUUUUUAAGUACAAAAGUGGAGAGAGUAGUGCUAGUCCUGACUAAUUCUGCCGUGUGAAUGAGUCCCGCAUCCUGAGAGAAGCUAUAGCAUCUGCCAUCUGCCAGGCACUGAGGAUGAAAGAACAAGUAUGACACAAUUCUUGCCCUUGCUGGGCUCCCGGGCAGUUAUGACGGCUGUUACAGGAGAGGAGCGCACAGGAAGAAAUGCCUCAUUGCGGGAAUAAGGGAGGCCUGGCAAAGAGUCCCCCGCCCCCUCCACAGCAGCGGCUGAGGCCCAGGAAACCUAACCCACAUCUGCCUGCUUCCAGAUCCAGCUAGGGACUGGCCCAUAAAUAGCCAGGAUGACAGACCAAGGGAGAGGCACCCAGCUGGCCUCUGGAAGGGAGUUUUUCUGGGGCCUCUCCUGCAGUGAAAACCUCCCCGGAGUCCCUGAAGCUGUGCUGGAGGAUGAGUACAGUGGACAGGACGUGAGAUGGACUGCAUUUCUCAGGUCAUGUGACUGAAUUCUGGUCCAAGGAAUGUGCCUGCCUCAGUGUGUGGCUCGACAAACCGCCCAUGCUCUUCCCUAAGGGCUCUCUCUUCCCAACCCAGCUGGCUGGAUGCAGAGGAUCCAGCAGACGAUGCUGAGCUCCUAGGAGAUGGCGACAGAGCCACACAACGGAAGCCUGACAGCCUGGACCACCUCUCCCUAAACCGCACGGCACUGGACUAUGUUGUGAACCAAAAAAUAAGCCUUUGUUUUGUUAAGCCACUGAGAUUCGGGGUUUGUUAUUCAUACGCAGUGAUUCUUCCUCACCGAUACAAAUAUUUAGGUGUGCUCAAGGUCAUCCGAGAAAAGCAAAAUAAAAAAAGGAUACAACUUCA